CAUGCAAGUCGAGCGAACAGAUAAGGAGCUUGCUCCUUUGACGUUAGCGGCGGACGGGUGAGUAACACGUGGGUAACCUACCUAUAAGACUGGGAUAACUUCGGGAAACCGGAGCUAAUACCGGAUAACAUUUGGAACCGCAUGGUUCUAAAGUGAAAGAUGGUUUUGCUAUCACUUAUAGAUGGACCCGCGCCGUAUUAGCUAGUUGGUAAGGUAACGGCUUACCAAGGCGACGAUACGUAGCCGACCUGAGAGGGUGAUCGGCCACACUGGAACUGAGACACGGUCCAGACUCCUACGGGAGGCAGCAGUAGGGAAUCUUCCGCAAUGGGCGAAAGCCUGACGGAGCAACGCCGCGUGAGUGAUGAAGGGUUUCGGCUCGUAAAACUCUGUUAUUAGGGAAGAACAAAUGUGUAAGUAACUGUGCACGUCUUGACGGUACCUAAUCAGAAAGCCACGGCUAACUACGUGCCAGCAGCCGCGGUAAUACGUAGGUGGCAAGCGUUAUCCGGAAUUAUUGGGCGUAAAGCGCGCGUAGGCGGUUUCUUAAGUCUGAUGUGAAAGCCCACGGCUCAACCGUGGAGGGUCAUUGGAAACUGGGAAACUUGAGUGCAGAAGAGGAAAGUGGAAUUCCAUGUGUAGCGGUGAAAUGCGCAGAGAUAUGGAGGAACACCAGUGGCGAAGGCGACUUUCUGGUCUGUAACUGACGCUGAUGUGCGAAAGCGUGGGGAUCAAACAGGAUUAGAUACCCUGGUAGUCCACGCCGUAAACGAUGAGUGCUAAGUGUUAGGGGGUUUCCGCCCCUUAGUGCUGCAGCUAACGCAUUAAGCACUCCGCCUGGGGAGUACGACCGCAAGGUUGAAACUCAAAGGAAUUGACGGGGACCCGCACAAGCGGUGGAGCAUGUGGUUUAAUUCGAAGCAACGCGAAGAACCUUACCAAAUCUUGACAUCCUUUGAAAACUCUAGAGAUAGAGCUUUCCCCUUCGGGGGACAAAGUGACAGGUGGUGCAUGGUUGUCGUCAGCUCGUGUCGUGAGAUGUUGGGUUAAGUCCCGCAACGAGCGCAACCCUUAAGCUUAGUUGCCAUCAUUAAGUUGGGCACUCUAGGUUGACUGCCGGUGACAAACCGGAGGAAGGUGGGGAUGACGUCAAAUCAUCAUGCCCCUUAUGAUUUGGGCUACACACGUGCUACAAUGGACAAUACAAAGGGCAGCUAAACCGCGAGGUCAUGCAAAUCCCAUAAAGUUGUUCUCAGUUCGGAUUGUAGUCUGCAACUCGACUACAUGAAGCUGGAAUCGCUAGUAAUCGUAGAUCAGCAUGCUACGGUGAAUACGUUCCCGGGUCUUGUACACACCGCCCGUCACACCACGAGAGUUUGUAACACCCGAAGCCGGUGGAGUAACCAUUUAUGGAGCU
rnacentral:rRNA from 1 species